rnacentral:rRNA from 1 species
UACGUAGGGUGCAAGCGUUAAUCGGAAUUACUGGGCGUAAAGCGUGCGCAGGCGGUUUUGUAAGUCUGUCGUGAAAUCCCCGGGCUUAACCUGGGAAUGGCGAUGGUGACUGCAAGGCUAGAGUUUGGCAGAGGGGGGUAGAAUUCCACGUGUAGCAGUGAAAUGCGUAGAUAUGUGGAGGAACACCGAUGGCGAAGGCAGCCCCCUGGGUCAAAACUGACGCUCAUGCACGAAAGCGUGGGGAGCAAACAGG